GUACACACCGCCCGUCCACACCAUGAGAGUUGGGAAUACCCGAAGCCUGUGAGCUAACUUAUAGAGGCAGCAGUCGAAGGUAGAAUCAAUGAUUGGGGUGAAGUCGUAACAAGGUAAC
rnacentral:rRNA from 1 species